rnacentral:rRNA from 1 species
CCCCUAGAUGUUCUGGGCCGCACGCGCGCUACACUGAACAGUUCAACAAGUCUUAACCUUGGCCGAUAGGUCUGGGUAAUCUUUGAACGCUGUUCGUGAUUGGGAUAGACCUUUGCAAUUAUGGGUCUUCAACGAGGAAUUCCUAGUAAACGCAAGUCAUCAGCUUGCAUUGAUUACGUCCCUGCCCUUUGUACACACCGCCCGUCGCACCUACCGAUUGAAUGUCCGGUGAAAUCUCGGGACGGCGGCUUGGUCGCUUGCGUCCGACUGCUGAAACUUGAUUAAACCAUAUCAUUUAGAGGAAGGUGAAGUCGUAACA